CAUUAUGUAGCUUAAUUAAAGCAUCUCGCUUACACCGAGAAAAUACCCGUGAAACCCGGGCCAUUUUGA
rnacentral:tRNA from 1 species